rnacentral:ncRNA from 4 species
AGGACUGUCUAACCUGAGAAUGG